UACGAAGGGUGCAAGCGUUACUCGGAAUUACUGGGCGUAAAGCGUGCGUAGGUGGUUUGUUAAGUCUGUUGUGAAAGCCCCGGGCUCGACCUGGGAAUGGCAAUGGAUACUGGCAGGCUAGAGUGCGGUAGAGGGUAGUGGAAUUCCCGGUGUAGCGGUGAAAUGCGUAGAGAUCGGGAGGAACACCAGUGGCGAAGGCGGCUACCUGGACAAAUACUGACACUGAGGCGCGAAAGCGUGGGGAGCAAACAGG
rnacentral:rRNA from 1 species